rnacentral:tRNA from 1 species
GGCCGCGUGGCCUAAUGGUUAAGGCGCUGGUUUCCGGAGCCAGAGAUCCUGCGUUCGAAUCGCAGCGUGGUCG